UACGUAGGGGGCAAGCGUUGUCCGGAUUCAUUGGGCGUAAAGCGCGUGUAGGCUGUCUCGACAGUCGGAUGUGAAAGCCCUGGGCUCAACCUAGGAAGUGCAUUCGAAACUUCGAGACUCGAGUCCUGGAGAGGAUCGCGGAAUUCUCGGUGUAGAGGUGAAAUUCGUAGAUAUCGAGAGGAACACCGGUGGCGAAGGCGGCGAUCUGGACAGUGACUGACGCUGAGACGCGAAAGCGUGGGGAGCAAACAGG
rnacentral:rRNA from 1 species